CACAGAGGCUGACUCUUCCAGAGCCAGCUGUUUUCCUUUGGGAUUGAAGAGGUUCUUCCCCUCCCCCCCGGGGAUGGACUCUGAUUCCCACCACUGAAAGUCAAGAGUAGAAGAACCUGCGUGUUGGAUGGAAGUGACUUAGAGGAAUGUGUCCUUGAGAGGAGAUUACGAUGAAGACAGGCAAGGAUGCAGCAGCUUCAGGUCCAGAGGUUUGGAGGUAAACCAGAUGGAUUCCCGCUCAAGGCUCUUCGGAUGAAAAGGGAAGAAAGCAGAAUUCCUGUCAGCAUAUCUUAAGGGUUCAUACUAUGAUAAAAGUCUGCCCAGAAGUCACUGGGCAUAAAGAGGACGUGGUGGAUUCAGCUUGACAAGAUCUAGAAUCACCUGAGAAACAAACCUCUGGGGAUGUCUAGGAGGGAGUUUCUAGACUGGCUUCACUGAACUGGCAAGACCAGCCCUACAUUUGGGCAACACCACUUCGUGGGUGGAGGUCCUGGACUGCAUGAAAACGACGGAACAAAUGGGAUGCCAGCCUUCUUUGCUCUCUGUUUCCCAUCUGUUGGCAUAGAGGCGAUUCAGCAGGCUGCCUCCGGGGGCCUAGCAACUGCUUAUGUCAUCACCUGAUGCUGCCAGGUGCACCAGGUAUGUGCAGGACAUAAGAACCCUGGACACCCCCAGCCCUCUGUCUGUUUCAGCUUCUCUCCGUCCCCACAUUUUUCUUUCUCUCUCUGGCCCUCCUUCUCUCUGCCCUCAUGUCUCGGUCAUGGCCUCUACCCCUCCUCUCCCAGGGCCUCACUCUCUUCCUUUCCCUCAAUAAACCUCCUUUAUACCAGAUCUUUUGCGUGGUGUAAU